rnacentral:tRNA from 1 species
GCCUGACUGGCUCAGUAGGUGGAGCGUGCAACUUUUGAUUUUGGGGUUGUGGGUUUGAACCCCACGUUGUGUG